UCUCUCUCUCUAUCGGUGCUCUGCCGCCGCCGCCCCGACGGCGGUGCCCGCCGGACGGAGGCCGGCGUCGCCCCUCUCCUCUCUCCCUGAACUCUUUCCCCCUCUCUUCUCCUCUAUCUCUCUCGCUCUCUCGGCCGCUGGACCCAGGCGCAGCAGACACCACCACCGCGGUGCGCCGCCAUCGCCGGGCCGCCGCCUGCUCCCUCAUUCUCGCGGCAGAUCCGCCGCGGCCUGAAGACCACGGCGCCGUCGCUCAUCUCGCCAUCUCCCUUUCUCCCUCGUUCUCACCUUCUCUCUUUCUCACUGACUCACACACACACACGCACGCAGACACGGCGUAUGCCGCGCCGCCGCAUCGUCCUCCCCUUCGCCGGUGGACAGACGGCCAGGAGCCGCCGCCUCCGUCGUCCGUGGAAUUUAAAGGUAAGCCCUAAUUCCCUCUCCUCUUUCCUCAUUUUCCCCUUUUCAAAUUAAAACUGAAAACCCCUCUCCUCUUUUCCUCUCUAUGGCAGAACGGAAACCACCACGUGGCUCCGCCGCCUUCCGUCGACCACCGGCAGCCACCGCGGCUGCCGUCCCCUGACCUCGACUCACACACACAGCAGGGUUCAAGCGACAUGUUCAAAUCAAAAAAAAAUUAGGCAUAGGAUUCCUUUUAGCAACUAUCAUACUUAUACUGUAAUUGAUCAAUUGUAAACUGUACACAAACAUUCAUUCAUGUAAAUUAAUCCUUCAUGUAAUUUCAGUUUCAAAAUACAUGUGUAAACGUAUUGGUGAUUGUUAGUUCCCUGUAAAAGUGAAAUAGGGGAAAACCUUGGAUUGGUGGUGAAUGUUGCUUGUCUCUGCAGAAUUGAUAUAUCACAUAAGUUAGAAUUGUUGUGAAGAAGAAUGAAUUGUUGUGAAGAAGAAUUGAAUGAGAUGAAAUAUCUUCACUCUAUUACCUUGUAAUCUGUUGGGGUGAAACUUGCUGCAGAGGUGGGCAUGGGUGAGGUGAGAUAGUGGGAUAGGUUUUAAAGAAGGAAGAGGAGGUGGGCAUGGGUGAGGUGAGAUAGUGGGAUAGGUUUUAAAGAAGGAAGAGGAAUGUGGGAUGAUUUGUGACCAUGCAUCCCUUAAUUGUAUUAAUAGGCAAAAGUGCUCCAUUUCUUUUUCAUAUUUUGAAAAAUGCUCAUCUUUAUCAUGCAAAGCUAUCCAUGCCCUAAAUUACUAAAUAAUCCUUAAGUGGGUUAACAUCAAAUGUAAUCAUUUCGGUCUUCUUACACAAUCUUACACAUUUUUGAGUUUCAAUGCAUUUUUUUACAAUAAUUUGUGAUGUUGACCGAAAUUCAUGGUUUUGAGUGCAUGCAAUAAUUUUUUUUACACUGUAUAUAUAUAUAGUGUUCAUAUCUUUAAAUUGUAAAUAUUAUCGACCGGACACUAAUUAACACUUAAACAAUAUAUUAAAUUAAAUUCAGCAAAAUAGUAAAAAUUAAUAUAAAGAUACAAAUAGAUAGAAUAAAAACUUUUAUGUCGAUAUAGCAUAUGUCCGGCCGGUGAAAUGGCCAGAACAAUGUAUCCGACCGGGUACAUUUCAGGUAAACAAUGACCCGGCCGGACACAUUUUUCCUUGAAAAUUACCGGCCGGAUAGAUAUUAUUUAGGCAUAAAAUAUUCUAUUUUAUUCAAUUUCAUAAAAAAUAAAUAAAUAAAACUGUCAAGAAGCUAAUAAUAUAGAUACAUGCGUAUCUAUCUUAAAUUUUUUAUUUUUUUCCCUUUAAUAUCUUAAUUUCAAUACAUAUAUUCUUUGAAAUUAUUUGUAUAUAUAUAUAUAUAUAUUGUGUUAUUCUUGAAUGUUGAUAUAUAGUACUCCUCCUUCCAUUAUUCAUGGGUCGAUUCCAUACUAUACCCCUUAAAAUAAAAUUCGUCCCGAAAUUUGUACCUCAGAAAAUAACUCUGAGUACUUCACCUUCUGUUAGACCGUAGUCUAUUCUUGACCAUGAUAUAUUCAUAGGUCCCUUACUAGCGGUAUCGACUUAGGGGGGUGUAUUCGUUGUGGAUUUCCACAGAUUUUAAAAAGUCCAUGGAAUUUAAAUUCCAUGGAAUUCCNCUCCCUUUCUCCCUCGUUCUCACCUUCUCUCUUUCUCACUGACUCACA
rnacentral:lncRNA from 1 species